rnacentral:rRNA from 1 species
AUUGAACGCUAGCGGGAUGCUUUACCCCUGCAAGUCGAACGAGUGGCGGACGGGUGAGUAAUAUAUUGGAACGUGCCCAGUAGCGGGGGAUAACUACUCGAAAGCGUGGCUAAUACCUCAUCCCAUUGGACUGGCCCAUAUCGGAUUAGCUAGUUCGUUGGGUAAAGGCUCACCAAGGCAACGAUCCGUAGCUGGUUUGAGUGGACGACAAGCCACACUGGGACUGAGAUAGGGCCCAGACUCCUACGGGAGGCAGCAGUGGGGAAUUUUGGACAAUGGGGGAAACCCUGAUCCAGCCAUCCCGCGUGUAUGAGAAGGCCUUCGGGUUGUAAAGUACUUUUGGCAGAGAAGCGGUAUCUGCAGAAUAAGCACCGGCUAACUACGUGCCAGCAGCCGCGGUAAUUC